GACGAACGCUGGCGGCGUGCUUAACACAUGCAAGUCGAACGGAAAGGCCCCUUUGGGGGUACUCGAGUGGCGCACGGGUGCGUAACACGUGAGUAACCUGCCCUUGACUUCGGGAUAACUUCAGGAAACUGGGGCUAAUACCGGAUAGGAAUCCUUGCUGCAUGGUGGGGGUUGGAAAGCUUCGGCGGUUUUGGAUGGACUCGCGGCUUAUCAGCUUGUUGGUGGGGUAGUGGCUUACCAAGGCUUUGACGGGUAGCCGGCCUGAGAGGGCGACCGGCCACAUUGGGACUGAGAUACGGCCCAGACGCCUACGGGAGGCAGCAGUGGGGAAUAUUGCACAAUGGGCGGAAGCCUGAUGCAGCAACGCCGCGGGCGGGAUGACGGCCUUCGGGUUGUAAACCGCUUUCAGCAGGGGCGAAGCUUGUGGUGACGGUACCUGCAGAAGAAGCACCGGCUAACUACGUG
rnacentral:rRNA from 1 species